GUAACAAGGUUUCCGUAGGUGAACCUGCGGAAGGAUCAUUACCGAGUGAGGGCCCUCUGGGUCCAACCUCCCACCCGUGUUUAUUUUACCUUGUUGCUUCGGCGGGCCCGCCUUAACUGGCCGCCGGGGGGCUUACGCCCCCGGGCCCGCGCCCGCCGAAGACACCCUCGAACUCUGUCUGAAGAUUGUAGUCUGAGUGAAAAUAUAAAUUAUUUAAAACUUUCAACAACGGAUCUCUUGGUUCCGGCAUCGAUGAAGAACGCAGCGAAAUGCGAUACGUAAUGUGAAUUGCAAAUUCAGUGAAUCAUCGAGUCUUUGAACGCACAUUGCGCCCCCUGGUAUUCCGGGGGGCAUGCCUGUCCGAGCGUCAUUUCUGCCCUCAAGCACGGCUUGUGUGUUGGGCCCCGUCCUCCGAUCCCGGGGGACGGGCCCGAAAGGCAGCGGCGGCACCGCGUCCGGUCCUCGAGCGUAUGGGGCUUUGUCACCCGCUCUGUAGGCCCGGCCGGCGCUUGCCGAUCAACCCAAAUUUUUAUCCAGGUUGACCUCGGAUCAGGUAGGGAUACCCGCUGAACUUAAGCAUAUCAAUAAGCGGAGGAAAAGAAACCAACAGGGAUUGCCCCAGUAACGGCGAGUGAAGCGGCAAGAGCUCAAAUUUGAAAGCUGGCUCCUUCGGGGUCCGCAUUGUAAUUUGUAGAGGAUGCUUCGGGAGCGGUCCCCAUCUAAGUGCCCUGGAACGGGACGUCAUAGAGGGUGAGAAUCCCGUAUGGGAUGGGGUGUCCGCGCCCGUGUGAAGCUCCUUCGACGAGUCGAGUUGUUUGGGAAUGCAGCUCUAAAUGGGUGGUAAAUUUCAUCUAAAGCUAAAUAUUGGCCGGAGACCGAUAGCGCACAAGUAGAGUGAUCGAAAGAUGAAAAGCACUUUGAAAAGAGAGUUAAAAAGCACGUGAAAUUGUUGAAAGGGAAGCGCUUGCGACCAGACUCGCUCGCGGGGUUCAGCCGGCAUUCGUGCCGGUGUACUUCCCCGCGGGCGGGCCAGCGUCGGUUUGGGCGGUCGGUCAAAGGCCCUCGGAAGGUAACGCCCCUAGGGGCGUCUUAUAGCCGAGGGUGCAAUGCGACCUGCCUAGACCGAGGA
rnacentral:sRNA from 1 species